GAGUUUGAUCCUGGCUCAGGAUGAACGCUGGCGGCGUGCCUAAUACAUGCAAGUCGAGCGAACAGAUAAGGAGCUUGCUCCUUUGACGUUAGCGGCGGACGGGUGAGUAACACGUGGGUAACCUACCUAUAAGACUGGAAUAACUCCGGGAAACCGGGGCUAAUGCCGGAUAAUAUUUAGAACCGCAUGGUUCUAAAGUGAAAGAUGGUUUUGCUAUCACUUAUAGAUGGACCCGCGCCGUAUUAGCUAGUUGGUGGGGUAAUGGCUUACCAAGGCAACGAUACGUAGCCGACCUGAGAGGGUGAUCGGCCACACUGGAACUGAGACACGGUCCAGACUCCUACGGGAGGCAGCAGUAGGGAAUCUUCCGCAAUGGGCGAAAGCCUGACGGAGCAACGCCGCGUGAGUGAUGAAGGUCUUCGGAUCGUAAAACUCUGUUAUUAGGGAAGAACAAAUGUGUAAGUAACUGUGCACGUCUUGACGGU
rnacentral:rRNA from 1 species